rnacentral:rRNA from 1 species
CGCGGUAUUUUGACCGUGCGAAGGUAGCAUAAUCAUUAGUCUUUUAAUUGGAGGCUUGUAUGAAGGGUUGGACGAGAAAUUAGCUGUCUUUGUAGGAAAAAUAAAAUUUAACUUUUAAGUGAGAGGGCUUAAAUGUUCUAAAGGGACGAUAAGACCCUAUAAAGUUUGACAUUUUAUUUUUUGAUGAAUAAGUUAGAAUAAUUAAAGUUUAUCAGAUAUUAAAUGUUUUGUUGGGGCGACAAGAAUAUAAAUAAUUUAACUGUUUUUAUGUAAUUACAAAGAUAAUUGAAUUUAUGGUCCUUAUUAAAGAGUGAAGAGUAAAUUACUUUAGGGAUAACAGCGUAAUUUUUUUUGAGAGUUCAUAUCGACAAAAAAGUUUGCGACCUCGAUGUUGAAUUAAAGGUUCUUUAUAAUGUAGCAGUUAUGAAAGAGGGUCUGUUCGACCUUUAA